UACGAAGGGGGGCUAGCGUUGUUCGGAAUUACUGGGCGUAAAGGGCGCGUAGGCGGUGUGUCAAGUCAGGCGUGAAAGCCCCGGGCUCAACCUGGGAACCGCGCUUGAGACUGGCACGCUCGAGUUCGGGAGAGGAUGGUGGAAUUCCCAGUGUAGAGGUGAAAUUCGUAGAUAUUGGGGAAGAACACCGAUGGCGAAGGCAGCCAUCUGGACCGACACUGACGCUGAGGCGCGAAAGCGUGGGGAGCAAACAGG
rnacentral:rRNA from 1 species